rnacentral:rRNA from 1 species
GGACGUGCCUUUCACUACGGAAUAGUCCCGGGAAACUGGGUUUAAUACCGUAUACGCCCUUCGGGGGAAAGAAUUUCGGUGAGAGAUCGGCCCGCGUCUGAUUAGGUAGUUGGUGGGGUAAUGGCCUACCAAGCCGACGAUCAGUAGCUGGUUUGAGAGGAUGAUCAGCCACACUGGGACUGAGACACGGCCCAGACUCCUACGGGAGGCAGCAGUGAGGAAUCUUGGACAAUGGGGGCAACCCUGAUCCAGCCAUGCCGCGUGAACGAUGAAGGCCUUAGGGUUGUAAAGUUCUUUCAACGGUGAAGAUAAUGACGGUAGCCGUAGAAGAAACCCCGGCUAACUCCGUGCCAGCAGCCGCGGUAAUACGGAGGGGGUUAGCGUUGUUCGGAAUUACUGGGCGUAAAGCGCACGUAGGCGGACUAUUAAGUCAGGGGUGAAAUCCCGGGGCUCAACCCCGGAACUGCCUUUGAUACUGGUAGUCUAGAGUUCGAGAGAGGUGAGUGGAAUUCCGAGUGUAGAGGUGAAAUUCGUAGAUAUUCGGAGGAAC